ensembl:snRNA U6 U6 spliceosomal RNA
GUGCUCGCUUUAGCAGCACAUAUACUAAAAUUGGAACGAUACAGAGAAGAUUAGCAUGGCCCCUGCGCAAGGACUAAAAUAUAGACAUGCAUUAUCCACAAGGGUGU